rnacentral:rRNA from 1 species
GACGAACGCUGGCGGCGUGCUUAACACAUGCAAGUCGAACGGAAAGGCCCUGCUUUUGUGGGGUGCUCGAGUGGCGAACGGGUGAGUAACACGUGAGUAACCUGCCCUUGACUUUGGGAUAACUUCAGGAAACUGGGGCUAAUACCGGAUAGGAGCUCCUGCUGCAUGGUGGGGGUUGGAAAGUUUCGGCGGUUGGGGAUGGACUCGCGGCUUAUCAGCUUGUUGGUGGGGUAGUGGCUUACCAAGGCUUUGACGGGUAGCCGGCCUGAGAGGGUGACCGGCCACAUUGGGACUGAGAUACGGCCCAGACUCCUACGGGAGGCAGCAGUGGGGAAUAUUGCACAAUGGGCGGAAGCCUGAUGCAGCAACGCCGCGUGCGGGAUGACGGCCUUCGGGUUGUAAACCGCCUUCGCCUGUGACGAAGCGUGAGAGACGGUAAUGGGUAAAGAAGCACCGGCUAACUACGUG